CCUUCCAUUUCUCACAAACUUGGAACGUUCGACGAAACAACGAUUCCAUCGUAAAAUAAUAUUGAUCCUUCUAUUAUAAUUUGUUAAAUAGAGAUCCUUUAGGGUAUUGCCUAUAUAUAUUUCCUAUUUCAUAGGUAUAUAUAUUGUGUGGGUGUGGUCUUGUGUAUUCACGUUUUACUUGCCAGAUGUAGUAAACGCAGAAGAAAGUACUGCAGCGUCGCCCGUCACAUUAAUGACAUCUCCGACAGCGUCAAGCGAAAGUAGAACUUCUGUCAGCGAAGAGGUGAUGACUGUACCAACCACCUCUUCGCCAACUUCCGUCACUUCAUUCAUAGAAAGAACCACCACAAACACAGAAGAGACACCGAAUGUCGUCUACAUAGACAUCGGAGUUAUAGGUGGAGCUGUAGUUGGCUGCGUCAUCACCGCCGCAGUCAUCAUCGCGUGGACGAAGAAGAGAAACAUAAGAAGAG